GCUUCGGUGGCGGAAUUGGUAGACGCGCUGGAUUCAAAAUCCAGUUCUGUAAAGAGUGUGGGUUCGAUUCCCACCCGGAGUACGA
rnacentral:tRNA from 1 species